rnacentral:rRNA from 1 species
UACGUAGGUGGCAAGCGUUGUUCGGAAUUAUUGGGCGUAAAGGGCGCGUAGGUGGCCAACUAAGUCAGACGUGAAAUCCCUCGGCUUAACCGGGGAACUGCGUCUGAUACUGGAUGGCUUGAGUUUGGGAGAGGGACGCGGAAUUCCAGGUGUAGCGGUGAAAUGCGUAGAUAUCUGGAGGGACACCGGUGGCGAAGGCGGCGUCCUGGACCAAUACUGACACUGAAACGCGAAAGCCAGGGGAGCAAACGGG